GUGUGAAAAGAUUUAUCGGUACGAGAUGGAUCCGCGUCUGAUUAGCCAGUUGGCGGGGUAACGGCCCACCAAAGCGACGAUCAGUAGCCGGCCUGAGAGGGUGAACGGCCACAUUGGGACUGAGACACGGCCCAGACUCCUACGGGAGGCAGCAGUGGGGAAUAUUGCACAAUGGGCGAAAGCCUGAUGCAGCGACGCCGCGUGAGUGAAGAAGUAUUUCGGUAUGUAAAGCUCUAUCAGCAGGGAAGAAAGGCCCGCAAGGGAGAUGACGGUACCUGACUAAGAAGCCCCGGCUAACUACGUGCCAGCAGCCGCGGUAAUACGUAGGGGGCAAGCGUUAUCCGGAUUUACUGGGUGUAAAGGGAGCGCAGACGGCAGAUCAAGUCUGAUGUGAAAUCCCGGGGCUCAACCCCGGAACUGCAUUGGAAACUGGUCAGCUGGAGUGUCGGAGAGGUAAGCGGAAUUCCUAGUGUAGCGGUGAAAUGCGUAGAUAUUAGGAGGAACACCAGUGGCGAAGGCGGCUUACUGGACGAUCACUGACGUUGAGGCUCGAAAGCGUGGGGAGCAAACAGGAUUAGAU
rnacentral:rRNA from 1 species